AAGACACUAGAUCUUAAUGCUACAUUCCUCUUUAUUUCUCUGAACUGCAGUGAAACACAGGGCUAUGGAAGAAGGAAUUCUAAGCUAUUUUUCCAUAAACGCAUUUUACAGAACUGUGCAUCAUCAUGAAUCGAAAAGGUCCAGAUAGUCUCUCGAACUCAGGACUUCAACAGUAGGUGACAAAAUUUUCAAAUGCCCUGCAGACGACCUCCUCACAGGGAUGUUGUUUUCUUUAACCUCUUCCUUAUCAAUAUUGUUCCUGGCUAUAAAGAGGAAAAUGGGCCUAAUGAUUUUCCUAGGAAUAUAUUCUUGAAGAAAAUAAACCUGAAAACUGAAAUCAAUUGAUUUCGGUGUGAUUUAGAGGCUUCAGAAUUACAAAAAUACUGUUACUGGUGAUUAAGUUAAAUACAAAAUAGAACUUCAAUUAAUCCGAGCAACUGAUUACUUCUAGGAUGUGAUCCUGCUGGCUCACGAGAUAUAAGGGGGAAAUUUCUUGACGGGCUUCCUUUAAAAAAAAGAAGAAAAGAGGAGAAGAAAAAGAGAAAGUGAAAGAGGAGAGAGAAGAAGAGGAGGCAGAGGAAAAACAGGAAGAAGAGGAAGGAAGAAGAGUCAUCUCUGCCUUUUAAUUUGGGCAGGUUUCUUAUGAAUUGAGGUUGGGAGCUGAAGCAGCCACCUUGAAUCCUAAAAGGAAAAUGAGGAGAAGCAUGGAAGCCAACAUUUCUAAGAAUGUUGUGCUAGAUCAUUUAAGUUGCCCUUGCUACUUAUAUCCAUCGACUUCCUAAUUGUAUUCAUGCCUAUGUAAAUGAUGUGCUCUCUUAAUUAAUUUGUUUCACAUUUACUAUUAAAAAAUUAAAUUGAAAAUUUAGAAAGGCCAUGGUUUACUUUAUGUAGAUUUGUUGUCUAAGUUAUCAUCUUUGAACUGAUAUCCACUAACUGCUUAAAUACUACAGGCUCUGAAUACACAUGUCACAGGGUGAUUUUAAACUUAAACAGUAUAUAUUAUUAUCACUAAUAAAUUUAGUACAUGGUAUUAAUUUAAACAAG
rnacentral:lncRNA from 10 species